AGACUUUCUGCAUUUAGAGACCAAAAAUGGCUUGCAGGAGCCAGGCUUGGGCUCUUAUCUACUGGGCUGGGCCAGUGGACAUUCCUUAUUUAUAACUCUGCUGACAGAAGCCCACAACAUUGAGGCAAUCCAAUGUGGCACAGAGCCUGCCUGCACAGUGCUGGCUCUCAUCUCCACUGGUCUGGUCACUGAGCAGAAGGACGGAUUCUGACCUCUGACCCCACAGGUAAGGGUUUUGUUUGUUUGUUUUGCUUUGCUUUGCCUUGUUUUUGUUUGUUUCUUCAUGCCCAUUCAGGCCAUAUGUAAAUGCAAACUUGGUUUAGAUAGCUUUGUGCUCAGUACAAAAGGAGCGUCCUAGACCCAGGCAGGCACUGGGACCUCAGGACCCCAGCUCCCCAAACAGCCGCUUGGAUGCUGAGAACAGCCUGGGUACCUCCUCACCUUGACUUCUCUCUGUGGGAACCAGAACUAAAAACCAGAAGAGCUUUUCAAGAGAAAGCAAAGGAAGAAGAAAAUUUCUAACAUAAACACAAAAUGGGGUCAAUGUACUUGAGCCCUCUUUCCCUCCCCAUCCUAGUAUUUCCGGAAGGCCUGGGUGGAAAGGCCAAUCACUGAUGUGUCUGAUUACUCUGGGGAAAGCAUGUUUAUACAAGAUGACUUACAUGCUAGGGCUGAUAGUUUGAAAGUCCAGAGCUAUUUGUAUUUAAAGGGAAUAUGUGCGUGUUUUACUAUUUCUUGCAGCUGAGCUGUACCGGAUUAAAUGAGACUCUGGCAGAUUGCACAACACUCUCAGUAUGGAUAAAAUGACACAGAUGGCAACGGUAUAGGAUAUAUAAGGAUCUGUUGCCAGACUUUUAUGUGAUGAAUUUUGUCAUAGUUUAAAAAAAAAAAAGCCCAAAAAACUUCUCAACCCAGGAUUGUUUGUUAUUUAUUUAUUUAUUAAUUCCGAAGCCCAAACUUAAAACCUAAGUUUUAGGCUCAUAUAAUUUUACUUCACAGGUACAGUUUGUAGAUUUGUGGCUGUUGUUUUCUUGUUUCCUGUGGAGUGUGAAUUGGAUUCUGUGUUACUAUUAGGCCGAUAAUCAACUGGGCUGUGACUAAGCCAUGCACACAAUGGGACUCAUCCUAUUUACAUAAGCCUUUGGUUUUCAUGGAGCGGAGGACUAAUCCAUUCAAAUUAUUAUAUUUUAGGAACUUUUUCUAAUAUUCAAAAGGACUAGGGGACUGGAGAGAUGGCCUAGUGGUUAAGAGUGCUCACUGUUGGGGUUGGGGAAUAUAGCUCAGUGGUAGAGCGCUUGCCUAGGAAGCGCAAGGCCCUGGGUUCGGUCCCCAGCUCCGAAAAAAAAGAACCAAAAAAAAAAAAAAAAAAAAAAAGAAAAGAGUGCUCAGUGCUCACUGUUCUUAACUGGAUCCCAGAAGUCAUCUCAUAACUAUCUACAACUCCAGCUUUAGGGACCGGACACCCUCUUCUGGCCUCUGUGGAUCAACAUGCACAUGUGAAAGAGAUACAUAAACACACACAUACACAACAAUCAGUAAUGAAGUAAAUGUUUUCCAAGAAUAGAAAAACGAGGGAUCAAAUCCAGGGUCUUGUGCAUGCUGGGCAAACAUUCUGUCAUCAAGCUAGACAUGCUCUCCCUAGCCUUAAGAAAAUAUAAUACAGAACAUCUACUAAGAGCUAUGCAUUCUCCCAGGAUAGGGUCCUCCGAGUGUCCAGCUCCGACCUGUUACUAAGUAUGUUUUGAACUUGUAAAUUUUAUCAUUCUACUUAGUGCUUCCAGGACUUUCCCUCCAAGAUUCUAGAACACUCUAUACUUUUCCUCAAUUACCAAGCCCAGAGUGUACACACCUUUCUCUUCAUCUCAAAAUACUCAGUACGUGUUAUAAAGUGACCCUGGUGCUGAUUUUAAGUCUCUUUUCUGCACCAAAAUAAGAGAUAAAACUAUAUUCUUAAUGUUUAUAUUUCUCUUUGGUUUUUCUUAACUACAAAUAAUGUUUAUCUGUCAUAGAAAAUACAGAGAAGCAGAAACAGGAAAAGUGGGAAAUUUUGUGUGGUUCUAAUGAGGACAACUGUUUUUCCAUUUUUAUGGUUUAUCUUGUCUCCUGUUUUAAUUUACCUUUGGUGUGUGUGUGUGUGUGUGUGUGUGUGUGUGUGUGUGUGUGUGUGUGUGUGUGUAAUGUGAUUGCAUGUACAUGUACUUGCAUCCAUAUGUGUGAAGUACGUGUGGGAGCCGUCCAAGUGUGUGCACAUGUUUGUGGAGGCCAGAGAUUGAAAUCAAGUUUCUUCACUGAUCACUCUGUACGUGAAUGAAGCGUGCAGCAAUCCAGCUAAUCUAGCCAUCUUGUUCCAAGGACCCUCUGGUACCUCACAGCACUGGGAUUGUAGGCUGGCUCCUACGUCUACCUGGCCUUUACUCUGAUGCUGGGUUUCUGAUCUCUGGUUCUUAUACUUGUACAAGUACUGUGCCUACUGAACUGUCUCCCCAGUCCUGUUACUGUCUCUUGAUUCUAGAUGUUCUUGCAGAGAAGAACAAAUAUUAAUAUAAAAACAGUUUUAAAAGAGAAAAAGAGAACUAUAGCCCCUGGAAUUAUAUCUUCCUUCCACAAUUAAGUGGUUCUUAUUCAUCUUAAAAUAUUAGUCAUCAUAAUUUUAAAGGAUUUGGCUUUAUGUAAAAACUAUAUAUAUAUACAUAUAUAUACAUAUAUAUACAUAUAUAUGUGUGUGUGUGUAUGUGUGUGUGUGUGUAUCAACUAUAAAUAUAAUCAGGUUGUAUGGUAACCUACUUUUGUUGAAUUUAUGCUCCACAUAUUUUUACUAUCUACUCAAAAUCCAAUGUUUUGAAAACUGACUUUCUAUAUGACAGUAUGAUUCUUCUUAGUUCUCUUAUUAAAACAUUCUAAUGGUUGCACAAAUGGGGAGUCGAACACGUAUCUGGAGAUUCAUACAGAUGUUUUAUUAGACUGUACCAACUGGCUUCUUGGUCUGAUGGGUCUGGCGAUUCCUGUGCUCUUGAUGAGGCCCCUGGAGUCAUGCAGAACUCUACCAUUCUGUGCCUUUAUUGGCCUAUCCUCACCUCAAUCAAACAAGUAAAAACUGUAUUUUAAUUUUUUUAUUUUAAAAAUUAUCAUCAUUGUAUGUAUGUAUAUGCCAUGGACCACAGCAUGCCUGGGAGGGCAAAGGACAACUCUUUGGACUCUGUUCUCUCUUCCCACUUUUACUUGGACUCUGGGAUUGGACUCACGUCGUCAGGCCACACAAGCAAACAUUUCCUUGAUAAGCCAUCUCGCCAGCCUCACAAAUUCGUUUUGCUGAUGUUUUUAUUACCACUCAUUAAUCAGAAGCUCAUCACUCUAUCCCCAUCGUGUUACACCGUGAGUGAAAACUAGAAAGGCACGAACAGCACCGUGGGCCUUUUAAUAUAUAACAGAUGUGCUUCAUAAAUAGGGAAUUUUAAAAGUGAAAAUUAGUAAAGAUAUAUAGUUUAAUUUUAUUUUUUUGGUUCUGGAAUACGGGCUACUCUCCAGCUAAGCAAGGGCUCUGCUGUUUAAUUUUCCCAUCGGAUUUUUAACUUCAAAGAGGAUCUUACAAUGUAGUGUUUCAUUUGCAUUUAAGAGGCACAUUUCAAAUAGAAGAUGAAUGCAAAUUAUUUCAACAUGGAAUUUUUGUUACAAUUUCAGAUUAAUACUCAAAGCCAAGCCAAAAGAAAACCAUACAGCCUAAUAAUAUUAAUAUACAAUCUAAGUUUGGCCUCUCUGGCUGUGAUAAACACCACGACCACCUUGGGGAGGACAGGGUUUAUUUCUGCUCAUGGUUCAGUCAUUGGGAAGAGAAGUCCAACAGGAUCUGAGGCACAUACAGCAGCCUGUAAAAAGGAGGUGGAUUACUAACCUCUGUGAACAUGGCAGUGGGAAAGAGUGUGAAUAAUACGCAGAGAUGGAAACAAAAGCGAUUUCUCUAAGUCCCAGGAAUCCUCUAAAUGUGUGUUUGAAGCCUAAGGACUUAGGAAGAAGGACCAACUUGCUUCUUUUUGUUAUUGGGACCUUUCCUACACUCCAUAUUUCAUAAAAGGAAAUGAAGAAGUGUCUUGCUUCCCCAAAAUAAAAAUAGGAAAAGGGGUAAAAAAAAGGUUUAGAACAGUACCUGAAUUGGGAUUGAUUUAUCCCACAUUUAAGCCCUGAGUUGUCACUGCUGACAUGCCGGCAGUUCUGGGCAGCACAGCAGUCUUGGUGGCUGGUGUAUCUGGAGGAAGCUUUGGUCAGCAAACAUAUUUCUCUGCCCGCAACAUCCACACAGAAUCUCACACAUUCUCAUGCCUGAGGAGGCCUGUUAGACCCUAGUGGAUUCAGGAGGCACAGAAGCAGUGAGUGGGAAAGCAAGAUUGGGCCCACCCACGGGGUGAUUAUAGAGUCUGAACAGAAGGUGGGAAUACCAACCUCCCCUCCUGUGGAUUCUUCCUGGGAUAUAGCACCCCCUGGAGCUUGGGAAGGUUGUAUUUACCUUUCCCAAUCAGAUUCAGAGCUGUCCCAGUGACUCAUCCAACAACCUAGGAAACAGUUUGUGGAAUCAAACAGUGGGGUCAAUGCAUGAUUAAGAGUUCUAGAAGGAUUGAAAACCAAAGGAAGAGCUGGAAGCGUUCUCUUAGCUGACAGUUUCUUCUUUUGCAAUGGUGGCUGGGAAAUAAGCUUGUUGUUCACUUCCUGACCCUUUUGUACACAGUACAAGAACAUGGCUCUUCCAAUAAUGUUUUAAAUGGCAUUUUAUUGGGCACCAAAUACUAAUAUUUGAUGAUUAUAUGCCCUUAAAUAAAUUCUCUACAGUGUGGGGUCAGUAUGUUGGGUUGGAGGAAUGGUGCUGAAUAAAUUCCAAAGUCUAUGAGCUUUCUUUCUGAAUGAUCACCUAGUAUUUUAGCCACAGUCUUUUAGUUAAUUUUAGGGGAUGCGUUUCCCUCUUUAAAUACAACUGAAGAAACAAAACAAGCAGGUAAAACAGCAUAGUUCUUAUUUCAAAUCCAGUUUUAAUUACAUUGAACUAAGGGCUGAUGAUCAAGCGUUAUUCUCUUCCUAUCCUAGAGUCAGAAGACACAGUGAUACAGCUAAGACAACUGACAAAGCUAAGAGAUUGGAUACAAACACAGACAACUUCGUUUUAGGUUCCUCUUUCUUUGUAGGUGCAAAUUUGUUGGCACUCAAAUUAACCACCAUUGGCAAGCAUCUUUGAGGGGAAGACAUAGUUCCAAUUUCCAUACCAUUUUAACACACACACACUUCCAGAUGGAAAAUCUUUGGAACAUGUAGAGAAGGCUUGAGAAGAGACAUGGUGGUUACAACAGGGCUCUCAACAAGUUCGAGGCUUGGGAAUUCACAGUGCCAAGGUCAACCUCAUUUAUAUGAUAAGGUCUGGGUGGAAGAAUCCAUAGGUGACAGGAACAGUCAGACAGCCAUGCAGGCCAGCUUAUAUUCAACUUAACUUCUAGCUUCCUUUGCAAACCAUUGUAUUUGUAACUUGAACUAGAACAUGAUUUCCCCUCUCCAAAACCCAAGAAAGGCUUCCCAAAUCAACACAUUCAGAUUCUAACCACAGAGCCUACAGACUCCUACAUGAUCCAGGGGUCAAAAACCCUGGUUCUAUCCUGCAUGAUCUCCCUCUAUUUAGUCAUCUCCGGUCACACUGUUCUUCCCCCAACUGGGCCAAAGACUUUCACAUUUCCUGAUGCCUUUGUCAAUCAUGUACUUACCUAAAAAUCACACAAUUCCUCUCUUCUUAUCAAACCACAUCUGAGAUCCACCUAAAAUUUAUAUUUUCUAGUGCCUUAUCUGAUGUACCUUUCUCUCUCUCGUUAUAUAUAUAUAUAUAUAUAU
ensembl:lncRNA